AUGUGGGUCAAUUUGAUCCAUAAAGCAAAUGACGUUGGCUCCUGGACUCUACUUGAGGCUGUCUCUUCGUUUUGUAAGAUGAGACAGUUCCAGAGGUCUUCCACCUGGACCACUUCACCAAAAAGCUUCAUGAUUAAGUUCAUCAAAAGGUCCUCAGGCACCUCAAACUGGAAAGUCCCUAACAAACCACCUUCUUCACCCCUCUCCAAACCUGCUGGUCUGCUGGAGUUCCUCUCUCAGGGUAUGACAGAGUCAUCCAAGCCUUCGUCUUAGACUGUCCUCACUCAUUCUCCACCAACCUCAUUCAUCCCCAUCCCCAACUUCUGCUGGUGCUACUUCGUUAGAUCUCCCUCAAAUUUGUCAUUGUCCCUGCAUUCUGGUCCUCGUAUUUCUCACUUGGAUUACUUUAUCAGUCCUAAAAUGAUUGGUAUCUGCCUCAGUUUGGUCCCCUUCUGUCAUUUUGUUACAUGACACUGUAAAACAGUAUUUUAAAAUAUCAGUUUAUCAAAUUUAUAAUUUGACACAUGCUUCUUGCAGAAAACCUGUAAUAAGAAUUGAAAAAAUAAAGAAAACUUAAAAUGACUUGCA
rnacentral:lncRNA from 1 species